rnacentral:rRNA from 1 species
GGGAACUACGAGCAUAAGCUUAAAACCCAAAGGACUUGGCGGUGCUUUAAACCCCCUAGAGGAGCCUGUUCUAAAACCGAUAACCCCCGUUUAACCUCACCUUUUCUUGCUUCUCCCGCCUAUAUACCGCCGUCGUCAGCAUACCCUGUGAAGGAGCCAUAGUAGGCAAAAAUGGGAAACCCCAAAACGUCAGGUCGAGGUGUAGCAUACGAAAAGGAAAGAAAUGGGCUACAUUUCCUCUCCCAGGAAACACGAAUUGUGCCAUGAAAUAACACAUGAAGGAGGAUUUAGAAGUAAGCAGAAAGCAGAGAGUUCCGCUGAACCCGGCCCUGAAGCGCGCACACACCGCCCGUCACUCUCCCCAAGCCCAAAUACACACAUACCUAAAAAACUGCUAAAGCAAAGGGGAGGCAAGUCGUAACAUGGUAAGUGUACCGGAAGGUGCACUUGGAAAAC